rnacentral:rRNA from 1 species
CCUACGGGUGGCAGCAGUGAGGAAUAUUGGUCAAUGGACGAGAGUCUGAACCAGCCAAGUAGCGUGAAGGAUGACUGCCCUAUGGGUUGUAAACUUCUUUUAUAUGGGAAUAAAAUGUUCCACGUGUGGGAUUUUGUAUGUACCAUAUGAAUAAGGAUCGGCUUACUCCGUGCCAGCAGCCGCGGUAAUACGGAGGAUCCGAGCGUUAUCCGGAUUUAUUGGGUUUAAAGGGAGCGUAGGUGGAUUGUUAAGUCAGUUGUGAAAGUUUGCGGCUCAACCGUAAAAUUGCAGUUGAAACUGGCAGUCUUGAGUACAGUAGAGGUGGGCGGAAUUCGUGGUGUAGCGGUGAAAUGCUUAGAUAUCACGAAGAACUCCGAUUGCGAAGGCAGUUCACUGGACUGCAACUGACACUGAGGCUCGAAAGUGUGGGUAUCAAACAGGAUUAGAUACCCGAGUAGUC